rnacentral:rRNA from 1 species
UGGGGAAUUUUGGACAAUGGGGGAAACCCUGAUCCAGCCAUCCCGCGUGUGCGAUGAAGGCCUUCGGGUUGUAAAGCACUUUUGGCAGGAAAGAAACGUCAUGGGUUAAUACCCCGUGAAACUGACGGUACCUGCAGAAUAAGCACCGGCUAACUACGUGCCAGCAGCCGCGGUAAUAAGUAGGGUGCAAGCGUUAAUCGGAAUUACUGGGCGUAAAGCGUGCGCAGGCGGUUCGGAAAGAAAGAUGUGAAAUCCCAGAGCUCAACUUUGGAACUGCAUUUUUAACUACCGGGCUAGAGUGUGUCAGAGGGAGGUGGAAUUCCGCGUGUAGCAGUGAAAUGCGUAGAUAUGCGGAGGAACACCGAUGGCGAAGGCAGCCUCCUGGGAUAACACUGACGCUCAUGCACGAAAGCGUGGGGAGCAAACAGG